rnacentral:rRNA from 1 species
UCCCGCAAGGGAUAAGUAGAGUGGCAAACGGGUGAGUAACACGUGGGUGACCUGCCUUCGAGCGGGGGAUAACGUCCCGAAAGGGACGCUAAUACCGCAUAACAUCCUGCCUUUGAAGAGGCGGAGAUCAAAGCCGGGGACCGUAAGGCCUGGCACUUGAAGAGGGGCCCGCGUCUGAUUAGCUAGUUGGUGGGGUAAUGGCUCACCAAGGCAACGAUCAGUAUCCGGCCCGAGAGGGCGGACGGACACACUGGGACUGAGACACGGCCCAGACUCCUACGGGAGGCAGCAGUGGGGAAUUGUUCGCAAUGGGCGCAAGCCUGACGACGCAACGCCGCGUGGAGGAUGAAGACCUUCGGG